CUCAGGGACCGGUUCCCAAGUACACCUAGAACAUGAGGAAACCCCUGCGCUGGAGGGGAGCUGUACCAACAAACUCACUCCGACAAGCCUUCUUCAUCUGCCUCUGUCCACCGCUAAGCACUCCGAGGUGCUGCCGCUCCCGAGGUUUCGCGGGAUGAACAGUCGGGGCGCAGGGCGAGGCCCGCAGAGGCCAUGGCCGUGGCCGUGGUCCAUGGACCAUCUCUUCAUUUCUGGGACAGAUGGGGCUGCUGACACAAAUCCGAGCAGACUAUGGGCAGACCUGGCCGGAGCUCCCUGCCGUUGUCACCACAACCCAGGACAGCGCAUGGGUUCCAGGACAAACACACGGCCGUGAUUCCAAGGGGAGUCCGCGGCAGCCGCUGAGACCACUGCCAACCGGAGCAGACCUACAAGUGGACACUGUCACUUCCGGAAACGCUGAGGGACGCAAG